CGGAAAGGAAAUUUCUGGAACCUUCUAUUCUGCGGCGCUCCACAGCGAGCGGAGGGCUGAGGACUGCGCAGAUGGUGCACGGGCACAGCUCUUCGGUCCGGUUCGCCUCUCUCACUGACCAGCAAUGAAGAUGGCAGCUCUGCCUGGAAGUGCUGAGGACACAACCAGCCUUGAGCUUGGUCCUUCUGGCCGAGGAAGUCUCCCGAUUAUGCAGUGGAGUGGUAACUUUGCUUUCUCAUAUGGCAGGGAACAUUAUUCCACAGUUUUUCAUCAUCCCGAGGCUUAAACAAGUUUAAGGAUGUGAUAGCAUAAGCGUUUAAUCUAUAUUACUCACUCGUUGACAUCUCAAGCGUCAGGGCUGGUUGUUUAGCAACAACCGCUGGGCUCAGAACCGGCUCAGACACAGCGCGCCCGCCGUCUCCAUCACUUCAGCUGUAGCCUGUCCCCUGCACGGUGCUCUGAGGGAAAGAGAGAAGGGCUCUACUUGCACCAUGCCCUCGCCCCGACUGAGUUUUGGGGGUUUGGUGGCGCAGGCCGCAGGCGCUGCGGUUUUCUCGUGGAUUCCGUCCGUUUGCGCAGUUCCGCGGAGGGGAGGACGCCAUUUCCAACGGCACUGCGGUGGCAGGAACGGGGAGGGAAGAACAGGGCAGGCAGUACGUGCCACUCCCCACUUUUCUUCCCUCUUUCCCAUCAGCACCUUUCUUCCUUCCCCUCCUCUUCUGCCAGAUUCCAUAGGGAAUUUCAGACUCUUGCUGCAGUCGUCACAACCCCUCCUGACUCACUGAGCCUUCGCUGGCUGUAGCUGGCUCCCUUGGAGCAUCCUUGCCUCCUGCAGCGCCAGAUCCGCAGAGCAGGGGAACAACAGGAAUAGCAGCGACGACGGUGGUCCCUGCAGCGAGACAGACAGGCAUAAAUACACACACAUGCAGGAACAGUCCGAGGCAGCUGUGGAGGGAAUUCUGUACAGCCGGGAGCUGGACUAAGCCCCGAUUGCUUGGUUGCAUAGAAGACGGUGGAGGAAGGCUCUGUGAGUGACGAGACAGCCACGAUCUCCCCCCUGCACUUGUUUUGCCGAUGGUCAUGUUACAUCUGUGACGCAGACGAAUUUUGCUGUUGGUUCCUGCCUGUGCUUUAGGGAGUCGGGCUGAUGAGGGCACAAGCUUGAAUAUUGGUUAGAAACAUUAAUUUAGUAUUGCUGUUACAGGUUCAAACCAUACCUGAAGGGUCAGAGGUAUUGGAUCCACCUAUUUCACAGCCCCAAAUGGCGAAGGAAUUCGGAUGAACACAACAGCACCCCUGGCCAUUUUGUAGCUCGCAGAGUAGACUCGGAGCCUGCAGCUCUGCUGCUGCUGCUGCUGCUGUUCAUUUCCAUGUUAUACAAAUACAGCGUUGGGCUCGGUGUCAGGAGCUUUCCUGAUGCUGUGAGAAGCUUAAAGUCUACAAGCAAAUGUUUUUCUUAUUUGGGAAGAUUAAUUAAAAUGACCAAAUGCCAAGUAUUCUACCCUCGCUCCUCUCACAAAUCACAUCCAGAAAAUUCAGUGGUGCCGUGUAUGUUUUUUAAAACUUAAUCACGGGGUUUUCUUACAGUUUAAUAUGGGUGUGGCUGUGGGGGGAAGGUAAGAUUUAAUUUGGUAAAUAUCUGUAAUGCUGAUGUUAAUGGACAAGUACGUAGGCAAGAGAUAGUUGUCCAAAUCCUCUAUACAUCUGCCUACAGAUACAGACGGUCCCAAGCCCAGGUUGUGAAGAUGCCCUCGUCACAAAAAUGAGAAGGGACCACUCUGGCCCAUUCUCACCCACCCAAACGUUUCAGUGCAAAGGCAGCAGCAGGAAAGGCCAAGUUGGAAUCUCAAUCUCACAAAAUGGUUCCACCAGCACUCAGAGAUGCCAGCGCCGUUUAUACUGGCACGGCUCCGAGAGCGGCACGGCGAGCUGCCUGCUGCAAGGUCAUUCCCCUGACUCAUGGUCAGCAACCAGUUGGUUCAGGA